AACGAACGCUGGCGGCAUGCCUAACACAUGCAAGUCGAACGAAGGCUUCGGCCUUAGUGGCGCACGGGUGCGUAACGCGUGGGAAUCUGCCCUUUGGUUCGGAAUAACAGCUGGAAACGGCUGCUAAUACCGGAUGAUGACGAAAGUCCAAAGAUUUAUCGCCAGAGGAUGAGCCCGCGUUGGAUUAGGUAGUUGGUGGGGUAAAGGCCUACCAAGCCGACGAUCCAUAGCUGGUCUGAGAGGAUGAUCAGCCACACUGGGACUGAGACACGGCCCAGACUCCUACGGGAGGCAGCAGUGGGGAAUAUUGGACAAUGGGCGCAAGCCUGAUCCAGCAUUGCCGCGUGAGUGAUGAAGGCCCUAGGGUUGUAAAGCUCUUUUACCCGGGAAGAUAAUGACUGUACCGGGAGAAUAAGCCCCGGCUAACUCCGUG
rnacentral:rRNA from 1 species